UACGGAGGGUGCAAGCGUUAUCCGGAAUCACUGGGUUUAAAGGGUGCGUAGGCGGUCAUAUAAGUCAGUUGUGAAAUCGUUGGGCUUAACCUAUACAACUGCGAUUGAUACUGUAUGACUUGAAUAAGGUUGAGGCAGGCGGAAUGUGGCAUGUAGCGGUGAAAUGCAUAGAUAUGCCAUAGAACACCGAUUGCGAAGGCAGCCUGCUGGGCCUUUAUUGACGCUGAGGCACGAAAGCGUGGGGAGCAAACAGG
rnacentral:rRNA from 1 species